rnacentral:rRNA from 1 species
UUGAACGCUGGCGGCAGGCCUAACACAUGCAAGUCGAGCGGUAACACAGAGAGCUUGCUCUCGGGUGACGAGCGGCGGACGGGUGAGUAAUGUCUGGGAAACUGCCUGAUGGAGGGGGAUAACUACUGGAAACGGUAGCUAAUACCGCAUAACGUCGCAAGACCAAAGUGGGGGACCUUCGGGCCUCAUGCCAUCAGAUGUGCCCAGAUGGGAUUAGCUAGUAGGUGGGGUAACGGCUCACCUAGGCGACGAUCCCUAGCUGGUCUGAGAGGAUGACCAGCCACACUGGAACUGAGACACGGUCCAGACUCCUACGGGAGGCAGCAGUGGGGAAUAUUGCACAAUGGGCGCAAGCCUGAUGCAGCCAUGCCGCGUGUGUGAAGAAGGCCUUCGGGUUGUAAAGCACUUUCAGCGGGGAGGAAGGCGGUGAGGUUAAUAACCUCAUCGAUUGACGUUACCCGCAGAAGAAGCACCGGCUAACUCCGUGCCAGCAGCCGCGGUAAUACGGAGGGUGCAAGCGUUAAUCGGAAUUACUGGGCGUAAAGCGCACGCAGGCGGUCUGUCAAGUCGGAUGUGAAAUCCCCGGGCUCAACCUGGGAACUGCAUUCGAAACUGGCAGGCUAGAGUCUUGUAGAGGGGGGUAGAAUUCCAGGUGUAGCGGUGAAAUGCGUAGAGAUCUGGAGGAAUACCGGUGGCGAAGGCGGCCCCCUGGACAAAGACUGACGCUCAGGUGCGAAAGCGUGGGGAGCAAACAGGAUUAGAUACCCUGGUAGUCCACGCCGUAAACGAUGUCGAUUUGGAGGUUGUGCCCUUGAGGCGUGGCUUCCGGAGCUAACGCGUUAAAUCGACCGCCUGGGGAGUACGGCCGCAAGGUUAAAACUCAAAUGAAUUGACGGGGGCCCGCACAAGCGGUGGAGCAUGUGGUUUAAUUCGAUGCAACGCGAAGAACCUUACCUGGUCUUGACAUCCACAGAACUUUCCAGAGAUGGAUUGGUGCCUUCGGGGACUGUGAGACAGGUGCUGCAUGGCUGUCGUCAGCUCGUGUUGUGAAAUGUUGGGUUAAGUCCCGCAACGAGCGCAACCCUUAUCCUUUGUUGCCAGCGGUUAGGCCGGGAACUCAAAGGAGACUGCCAGUGAUAAACUGGAGGAAGGUGGGGAUGACGUCAAGUCAUCAUGGCCCUUACGACCAGGGCUACACACGUGCUACAAUGGCAUAUACAAAGAGAAGCGACCUCGCGAGAGCAAGCGGACCUCAUAAAGUAUGUCGUAGUCCGGAUUGGAGUCUGCAACUCGACUCCAUGAAGUCGGAAUCGCUAGUAAUCGUAGAUCAGAAUGCUACGGUGAAUACGUUCCCGGGCCUUGUACACACCGCCCGUCACACCAUGGGAGUGGGUUGCAAAAGAAGUAGGUAGCUUAACCUUCGGGAGGGCGCUUACCACUUUGUGAUUCAUGACUGGGGUG